AAUGCACUUAGUGGAGAGCUCACUGAACUUAUCCCACAAGCCCAGAUCCAGUUGGACCCUGUGAUCUGCACUCGAGUUCUAUGCCACAGAAGGAGUAAGAGAAACCAGAAGGCCUGAGGACCAAUGAAACUGAGUGAUAGGACUACAUGUUGGAACGCUUCAGAUGAAACAUGCCAACCUCAAAACACUUCUGUAGGCGACAGUACUGGCAACGGUUCCUGGUCACCUUGUUGAUCUGGCAGUUCUUAUCCCGAU